CGCCACUCCCGGGCUCUGGCGGGCUCCUCGGGGCUGGCAGCCUCACCCUGUUCCCAAAAGCUGAAUUGCUUGCGCCCCCUGGUGUGUCGGCCGCGAGCAACCUCGUCACCGACCUCAGCCACCCAGAGCAACGGCCAGGAGGGGGCGCUACAUCAGAGCCGCCCGCAGGCAGAGCCGUGCCCUUGAGUCGACAGCCUCCUUGGGGACCAGUCCCUCGCCGCUGCUAGGUAGCAGUUCCUAAAAAAAAAAUAAUAAUAAUUGGAGGAUAGAAGGAGUGGUAAUGAUAGAACCACCUCGCAGGAUUGCUGUAUACAAACUGCAAAUACAGUUUGUAUUUGCAGUGCUGGAGAUUAAACCUAGGGUCUCACACUCACCGAGGUGUCAUAUAACCCAUCUGGACAUGAAAUUACUGUGUAGCUGAGGAUGACUGUGAAUACCUGACCCUCCCACCUCGACCUCUCCAGUGCUAGGAUUAUAGGAAAUCAACAUCAAAACAGGGCACUCGGCUCCAUUUGGCGGACCCCUUUGAUGGCCCCGGUACACCAGCCCACUCCUGUCUGGGGGUGUCCACGGACUCUUCACUUCCUCUCUUCACUAUCAUUACGACGAGGCCCUAGUUCCCCUGCCUCUGCACUUACCUCUUUAACAUUCCAUAUGUCUCAUUUCUAGUGUUUAUUAUCUAUCUUGGUCAAUAAAAUGUAAGCUCCAUGAAGGCAGAAAUGCUUUUUUGAUGUGUGUAUUCGUGUGUGUG